rnacentral:rRNA from 1 species
CCUACGGGUGGCAGCAGUGGGGAAUAUUGCACAAUGGGGGAAACUCUGAUGCAGCAACGCCGCGUGAGUGAAGAAGUUUUUCGGCAUGUAAAGCUCUAUCAGCAGGGAAGAGAAUGACGGUACCUGACUAAGAAGCCCCGGCUAACUACGUGCCAGCAGCCGCGGUAAUAAGGAGGGGGCAAGCGUUAUCCGGAUUUAACGGGUGUAAAGGGAGCGUAGGCGGUUCUGCAAGUCAGAAGUGAAAGCCCGGGGCUUAACCGCGGAACGGCUUUGGAAACUGUGGAACUGGAGUGCUGGAGAGGUAAGCGGAAUGCCUAGUGUAGCGGUGAAAUGCGUAGAUAUUAGGAGGAACACCAGUGGCGAAGGCGGCUUACUGGACAGUAACUGACGUUGAGGCUCGAAAGCGUGGGGAGCAAACAGGAUUAGAUACCCCUGUAGUC